AUGGAAACGAGGAGCAGCGGCGAAAAGAAAACAUAUUUAUAUUCAUAACAACGAGCAAAGGCUGAAGAAGUCAGAUACUAUUAUAACAGCAUCAAAGCGAAGCUCUGUCUUUAAUUUCCUCCCUCUCUUCUUCACAGUUCAUCCUCUGCUCGCUGGAAAAUGCUUUUAUUGAUUCCAAGAGCCUGGGGAUUAGCGGGGAUCCAGGUGCCGGAGCCUCUGGGAAGCUGCAGCUGUCGGACUCGAGGCCUCGGAGCCGAAUGUGUCUUCAGGGAACGUCGCGAAUGAUUCAAGGGAGCUCCCACUGAGGGACGGGGAGAGGAUACAGAGUGGAGACCUGGGGAAACGCUCAAGGACGGAGCCUCGAGAUGCGCCGGGCGCGUCCCGAGUCGUUGGCUGGCGGACAGGAAGUGAGGGGACGCGAGGGGACGCGAGGGGACUCAUGUACAAGUAAUCAGAGCGUCUCGUCAUGAGCGCACACGGACGGAGUUGGCUUUGAAGUCGUCUCUAAUCCUGCGUCAGUGCUGAGCCCACUGGACUGAACAGGCCCGCGUCCAUCAGAGACGCUGGUCGUCGGUCCGUCCCAUCGCGUUCCUGCUCUGUGCAUGCGUGGCUCACCUGUGGCUGAGCUGCACCCCCCUCAGGCUGGUCAUGGUCUCUUCCAGGUUCUGUCGAAGGUCCAAAACGUUUUGCACCGUCCUCUUCCUCUGGGACUCUGGGUCUGCAGGGGUGCACACAUACAGCAAUAAGGACCCUGACCCGCAUGCAACGUGCAAGAAUCCAGUUCAAACCAGCGCAUGAAUGAAAAUGGCAAAGUAGGA